GAAUCAUAGAUCGUCCACUGUUUGUUGAUCAGAUGUCACUCCAAUAUGUAUUAGGGCAACUGGGCACGAAUCUUGAAGCGCGCAGCAGAGGCACCGUGCCUGCUUUUUAUUCUCCGUGAGCUGCGCAACAGAGAGGGAGAGGGGAGAGCGAGAGGGAGGAGAAGGGGACUAGUGCGCCGUUACCGAGGGCGGGCAUGCUUCCUCCCCUUCUCCUCUACCUCCUACGCCGACGAGUUCUGCCGUCGGAAGUGAGCGCUCCUUUCGGGAGUGUGUGUGUGUGUGUGUAAUAUAUAUAUGUUCAAGAGGCGAUGACGAUGAAACCUUCCUUGGGGGAGGCGGUGGCGGGGCAGCUCGGAUGGCUUUGCCGCUGCUCCGCAGGGCAAGCAACCGCUGCAGCCACUCCUCCAACAGAGAACGGAUGGUUUGUUCUCCAACCUGUCCGUGAUGGAUCAAAGGCGAAUCCGAGCCUCCCCUUCUUCCUCCUGUUUCCGUCCUUCAAGAUCAUUCCAAUAUAUUCUUUUUCUCUACAAUCUUUCUUCCAUUUUCUUUCUUUUGGAUCACAUUCAGUCUGAAGCUUGAUUCUUUCUACGGGUAAUCGAUUCAGCAUUCCUGCUUCGAUUUUAGGUUGUUGAUCUAUAUUUAGGGUUCUUCUUUUUACAAGAUUUCCUUUUUGUUUAUGGUGCGGUGUGUGUCUGAUUUCCAAUUCGUUUAGAAUUUCUGGUUUCGAACUCUGCAUUUUAAUUUUUGUGAUUGGUUGGUGUGGCUAAUAGAUGCCUACAUUUUUAGGGUUUCAAUUUAUAGUGUUUCAUGGAUUUGGAAUGACCUAAGGCAGGCAAGGAACUUCGAACCCCAAGGCUUGCAUGACUAGGGUUUCAAUCUAUGGUAUUUCGUGGAUUUGGUCGUUCUAUUCUUUUUGUUGUGUUGCAACCCCCAAAUUUAUUCUGAUAUUAUAAGCUUCGAAUAAAAUAAUCGAGACUUCAAUUCAAGCCGAGAGAGGGUGGCCGUAGCAGAGUCUGACAUUGAUGAGACGUGUCGGGCUCUUGCUGGACGUGAUGAGUAUCCGCUCCUUCCUUAUCUAAUAAAAAUACUGUUUAUCUAAUAAAAAUACGACUUUGAUGAACAGAUUCGACUGCUUGCAAAUUCCUUAAUGCAAACUAACAUUAUCUUUGGGCAAUUGCCCAAAAUAAAUCUUCAAGAUCUGGGGUUUCCAUCUUCACGUUCUACGAUGGCUUUAUGCAAUCUUCACGUUUUGAUGUCCUGUUUCGUACCCAUUUUUUCGGUUCUUCGAGACCUUUUUGUACCUCUUUGCCUUUUGCAGCCAUCUCUUGGUUCUGUUAUUCAGAAGUCUCUUACAUGCCGAUGUGGGAUCGCGUGGGCUUUGAAAUUUUUGGCCGUGUAAGUUCAAAAAGUUCUUCUUUGGAUAAUGUUCAGUGUCCCAAAGUUCCCUCCUAAAUAACUCUCUCAUCCAGUGUCAGAUUUUAUGGAUAUGAACCCUAUUCUGCUAAAUUCAGUGAUUUGUUUUAUAUUCAUAUCUACUAGAUCAUAUUCUGCCAAAUAAUUUGGAAGUAUAUUAUUCUCAUUAUUUUAUGACUAUUCUGGAACCCUUUGUGCAUAUCUUCUGAAUACGCAUGAUAUCAAAUGUUGUGUGUAGAUGAAAACACUUGUAUAUGGGUAAUAUCACCUAUAAAUGGCUGCAUGUUAUGUUCCGUGCUCAAAAUUUUGCCAACAAACGAUUAUGUGGAGGCUCUAAUUUACUUGUUAUUGCCAGUUUUCCUAGUACAUGUUUUUAGCCCUUUUUCAAAUAACAAGUUUUUUCUCCUGCCUUCUGUUUUUUUAAAUAUUUUAUAAAGUUUGAGCAAUUGUUCCAUCAGCCAACUGACUGAAAUCCAGCCUUGGCCAGGCUGAUGGCCAGUUGGGUUUGAUAUAUAUUGUUUGAAAGGCAGCUCAUUGGAUCUUGGUUAACCCAUGGUUAUCCUCCUGUCUUUGGAUUCCUCUCUCUCUCUCUCUCCCUCGCGCCCCCCCCCCCCCCCCCCCCCCUAGGAGUUGGCUGUGGUGGUGGAAUUUUUCAUGUUUUCUAUCUUUUUUUAUACAAGGAGGUGAUGAUGAUUUACUUGGAAAGGGCAAAACUUUGUUAUUAUGUCUUUGCUGCCGUUGUUGUUGUUGUUGCUGCUGUUUGUUUUACCCUAUUGUGGUAACUAUGGUGGUCCAACAAUUGGGUGCUGUAAUAAGACUGGCGAGGCAAGACUUGGAUGGGCUCUUACUCUGUGAGCAACCAGUUGCAGCCAUGUCUUAUUUCAGUUAGAAGGAAAAGUCCUGCUUGCUCUAAUUGAUCCUGACAAACUGUGGUAUGGGAGCAUGCAAAGAACUGGACAUAUAUAUAUACAUAUAUACAUACAUAUAUAUAUUCACCCUUCCUUGUCAUACUCAAUGUUUGAAAAGAUGAGUAAAUCUGAGCCUCCUCUGGUCAACAUAUUUGGUGAACUUUUUGAAGUAGUAAAAUAGUUUCAAGAUGGGCAAAUCUAAGAUUAUGUACUCCAUUGUCAUGUUCGGACAGAUUUUUCAAUUCUUAAGUACAAAUGAUGAUGGGUAGGGUACACGAAUGAAUUUUGUUGUAUCUGUUUCCAAACUUAGCUAUCUUUUAUUAUCUAUUUUCUGAGAUAUACCCAUGACUAACUACUGAGAUACCCAAAUCCUCCUCAGCUCUCUAUUUUCUGUCUUGUACUCAUUCCAAACUCAAUUUACAGGUAUCUUGUUGUAGCUUAAGGGGCUUAGCCCUUAGGUAUGCACAGAGUACAUGAAAAACUCUGACCUGCUGCCAUCUAGAAAUGGAAAUGGGAAUAUGACAAAAUUUUCACUCUUUUUGUUAGCAAAGCCUUCUUGAAACGUAACAUCUUCCUAUAGGCAUCGUACAGGCCAUUAACGAGAAAUUGAUUCUGCUUUCUUUUUUGUUAAUAAUUUUUUGUUUUUUCUUUAUACCUGAGCUCAUUUUCCAUUGUGGUAGAUGUCUUUGGUACUAAAGUUGCUCUUUAUGUGAAAUUAUUCAACUUUAGUACUUAGAAAAUUGUCUUGUUUACCACAUUGUGCUUAGUGUUUGACAGGAUCUGCAUAUCGAGUGUAUGAAUUCUCAAACUUACAAACUACUGUGUGCAGAAGAGAUGCCCGGAACAAAAGUUCUUUGAUGUAUUGUCAGUCAUCUUUUAUAUCUUUUCAGAAGCUACAGAUUGGAUGUGGCCUGAAUCAGUGGGCGUUAUCUAGUUGCAAUAAGACCGAGUCAGCGCAAUUCAAAGCCUAAGGCCACCUGCAUGCUUGAAAUGAAAUAUGCACUGCUGUUUUAUCAACUUGAAAGCGCAAGUCUCUUUGAAUCUGUACCUAUUCUCCUGUUUUAGACUACUCGUUCUUGUUGCUACUGGUGAUUGGUUUUGCAAUUCUCAACGACAUUAAACUGAA